rnacentral:rRNA from 1 species
AUUGAACGCUGGCGGCAUGCCUUACACAUGCAAGUCGAACGGUAACGGGCCUUCGGGUGCCGACGAGUGGCGAACGGGUGCGUAAUACAUCGGAACGUGCCCGAUCGCGGGGGAUAACGAGGCGAAAGCUUUGCUAAUACCGCAUACGAUCUACGGAUGAAAGCAGGGGACCGCAAGGCCUUGCGCGGACCGAGCGGCCGAUGGCAGAUUAGGUAGUUGGUGGGAUAAAAGCUUACCAAGCCGACGAUCUGUAGCUGGUCUGAGAGGAUGAUCAGCCACACUGAGACUGAGACACGGCCCAGACUCCUACGGGAGGCAGCAGUGGGGAAUUUUGGACAAUGGGCGCAAGCCUGAUCCAGCCAUGCCGCGUGCAGGAUGAAGGCCUUCGGGUUGUAAACUGCUUUUGUACGGAACGAAAAGCCUUCUUUUAAUACAGGAGGGUCAUGACGGUACCGUAAGAAUAAGCACCGGCUAACUACGUG